GACGAACGCUGGCGGCGUGCUUAACACAUGCAAGUCGAACGAUGAACCCGGAGCUUGCUCCGGUGGAUUAGUGGCGAACGGGUGAGUAACACGUGAGUAACCUGCCCUUGACUCUGGGAUAACUGCGGGAAACUGUAGCUAAUACCGGAUACGACCCUCGGCGGCAUCGCCAGGGGGUGGAAAGAAUUUCGGUCAAGGAUGGACUCGCGGCCUAUCAGCUAGUUGGUGAGGUAACGGCUCACCAAGGCGACGACGGGUACCCGGCCUGAGGGGGUGACCGGCCACACUGGGACUGAGACCCUGCCCAGACUCCUACGGGAGGGAGCAGGGGGGAAUAUUGCACAAUGGGCGCAAGCCGGAUGCAGCAACGGCGCGUGAGGGAUGACGGCCUUCGGGUUGUAAACCUCUUUUAGUAGGGAAGAGGCGAAAGUGACGGUACCUGCAGAAAAAGCACCGGCUAACUACGUGCCAGCCGCCGCCGUAA
rnacentral:rRNA from 1 species